UGCGCGUGCCCCACGCAGGUCUCUGGAUCGUAGGUGAUGAUGGCCGUGGAUGAGCAGCAUCGCUGAGUUCGCUCCUCUGAGCUUUCUAUGUUAAUAUAAUUAUAAAAACUGUCGAAUAAUACAAUUAGUCUCCUUGGUCUCCUAACCAGAGACUAUGGGAAACGAAGGAAGCAUCGAGGGAAGCGGACAACCCGGAGAACCGGGCUCCAUCUCUAUGGUUGGAGCUCCCGGUUCGUUUUCAGAACCGGGCUCUGGACAGCACAUCAAGCCCGCCAAUGGUGCUGUUGCCGGGGGAGGAAUGGGUGGCGGACCGGGGAUGAAUAGGGUUCCUAUGGGGAGUCCUAAACCUGGGAUGCAGCUUGGCUAUGGAGGGAUGGCUGGAGGAAUGGGUGGAGGAGGAGGUCAGAGACUGGCCAACCAAGAGAGCCACAGGCCGAUGCAGCAAUCUAGCUCAGGCCCUGACCAUGGCUCUGGCCCAGGGAUGGGUGCUGGGAUAGGUGGCUGUCAGGGUCAGCAUGGCCAGAGCCCCGGUCAGCACGCCUCCAGACGGAACCUCCAGGUGGACUUCAGCAGCUCGGGAGGCCGGACGGGCCGCUCCUCCUCAGCGUCUCCGGACCGGGGGAUCACCCCCACCUCGCCCUACUCGGUGCCUCAGAUCGCCCCCAUGCCCGUCAGCAAGCUGUGCCCCCUCUGCUCCACCACAGAGCUGACCCACCCGCCGGCCCUGCCAAACUACAACACCUGCACACAGUGCCGCUCCACCGUCUGCAACCAGUGUGGCUUCAACCCCAACCCCCAUCUCACAGAAGUCCAGGAGUGGCUCUGUCUCAACUGCCAGAUGCAGAGGGCCUUGGGCAUUGACAUGACCACCCCACGCUCCAAGAGCCAGCAGCAGAUCCACUCUCCAUCCCACCAAACCAAACUCAUAGUCCAGCCACCACCUGUUCAGCCAGCUCAGCCAGCAGCCCAGACAAAACCCCAGCCUCAGCCCCAGGCCCAGCCCCCACCACAGUCAAAACCCCACUCACAGCCCCAGCACCAACUCUACGGUCAAUCCCAGCCCUAUGGUCAAUCCCAGCCCCAGGCCCAGCCCUAUGGUCAAUCCCAGCCCUAUGGUCAAUCCCAAUCCCAGGCCCAGCUUUAUGGUCAGUUCCAAUCCCAGCCCCAGCCCUAUGGUCAAUCCCAAUCCCAGGCCCAGCCCUAUGGUCAAUCCCAAUCCCAGGCCCAGCCCUAUGGUCAAUCCCAAUCCCAGCCCCAGCCCUAUGGUCAAUCCCAGCCUCAGCAACAGCCCUACAACCAAACUCAGCCUCAGCCACAUGGUCAAUCCCAUCCACAGGCCCAGCCACAUGGUCAAUCCCAGACCUAUGGCCAUUCCCAGCCCCAGAAACAGCCCUAUGAUCAAUCCCAGCCCCAACAACAGCCCGACAGCCAAACUCAGCCUCAGCCAUAUGGUCAAUCUCAGCCCUAUGGUCAAUCCCAGCCCCAGCAACAGCUCUACGGCCAAAGCCAACCUCAGCCCCGGCCAUAUGGUCAAUCCCAGCCCUAUGGUCAAUCCCAGCCCCAGCACCAGCCUCAGGCCAAAUCCCAAGCUCAGCAUCAGCCACAGACCUCUCCUGGCCUACAGAGACACCCUAUACCCGGCUCUGCCUCCCUACCCGGGUCAACGACAAGCUCCCCCCAGCACAUCCCAUAUGGCCAGAGAGGGCCUGGAGGUCCCGGCCAGCCCCGGAUCCCCCAUCCUGGGGCAGUCCCCCUGGUGGGCAUGGCCAAGGCUCCCUCCCAGCCAGACCUGGGCCGAGGCUCCCCGCUGCACCAGGGCGGCCGUCAGGCUGCCAGCGCCGGCUCAUCGCCUUCCCAUCGGCCCGCUGCUCCCCAGGGGCAACCGCCCCAGGACGGCCUGACCAAACUGUUUGGCUUUGGGGCAUCGCUCCUCAACCAGGCAGCCAGCACCCUGGCCUCUGUGGACCCCCUCUCAGGGACACCAUCCACCCAGCCCUCCCCUGCCAGGGGUGGGCCUUCCAACAAACAACAAGGACCUCCUGAUGCCAAACCAUUCCAGACGGGUGGCCCCCAUGCACCACAGAUGGGUGGCCCUCAUGCACCCCCGAUGGGUGGCCCGCAAGUACCCCAGAUGGGUGGCCCACAAGCACCCCAAAUGGGUGGUCCACAAGCACUUCAAAUGGGUGGCCCUCAUGUACCGCAAAUGGGUGGACCCCAGACACCAACUCAGAUUGGUGGCCCGUAUGCACCACAAAUGGGUGGCCCACAUACAUCAACUCAGAAAGCACCCCAACAGCAGCAAUCACCUGUGCAUCAUCAGAAGGGACCACAGCAACAACAGCAACAGCAGCAGCAGCCGGCCAGACAGGAGCCUGUUCCCAAGCCGGUGGAGCCUGAGAAGCACAAAGUCAAAUGCCCCCUGUGUAAGACAGAGCUCAACAUUGGCAGCACCACUGAGCCGCCUAGCUACAACUCCUGUACCCAGUGCCACACUCAGGUCUGCAACCUAUGUGGAUUCAACCCGGCGCCUCACCUGGAGAAGAAAGAAUGGCUCUGUCUGAACUGCCAGACCCAGCGACUGAUAUCUGGAGGGCUCCGGGAUCCCUCUCCUGUAUCUCAUCCGUCUCCAAAGCACCAACCAAUGGGUUCUCCACACCACCAGGCACUGGCCAGUCAGCAGCCGGUUCAGCAGCCACCCUUCCAAAAAUUGACCAAUCAGCAGCAGGAAGGGUCGAGACAGAUGCAGCCGCAGCAGCAGAAGCCCCAGACAGCCCUGGGGAGCGGACCUUUCGAACCAACUGCAGCAAAGCAACCUGGAGACACAAAGGCCCCUGUCCAGGCCACACCUACACCUGCAAUCGAGCCCCUGAAACAACCAAAGGCCACGGAAGAGACUACGCCAAAACCAGAGAAGUUGGUGGAACCCGCCAUAGACACCAAACCGACUCAGAAGAAGGGAGAGCCAAUCACACCAAUAAAAGAGAUAAAGAAGUCGAGAUAUGAUGAGACCAAGAACAGCACUCAGGACCUGUCGCGGAGCCCCCAGAGCCUGAGCGACACGGGCUACUCCUCCGACGGCAUCUCCAGCUCCCACAGCGAGAUCAUCGGCCUCAUCCAGGAGGAGGAGAUGAAGCUGAGUGAGAGGGGCAUCAGCGGGCGUGGCAGCCCCCCCAGCCCCUCCGAGAUCACCAAGCUGGAGAGCUCCAUGAGGCCCCUGCUGGAGUGCAAGACCCUGCCAGUUGAGGAGAGGGAGCGCGAAAGGGGCCGGAGCCGGCACCACCGAGAGCAGAGACCCCGGUCGCUGUCGAUCACUCCGGAGGCCUAUGACUCUGAUGAGGAGCUGGAGGACAUUGUGGAAGAGGAGGAGGAGGACGGAGGAGACUGGGAGUCCAAACAGGAGCACAAGAGCAGUGCCGCUCCCAAAGAGGAGAAGAAAGUGGCCGAGCCGGAGCCGAUGACAGAUGAGGAGUUCAUGAGGAGGCAGAUCAUGGAGAUGAGCGCUGACGAGGACAACGAGGAAGAGGAGGAGGAUAUGGAGGAAGAGGACGAGGAGGACGAAGGCUACGGCUACCAAAAACCGAAAAAAACACACAAGCACAUCUCAGAGUUGACGAAAGAGAAGCGCCGCCUCUCUCACCAGUCCAGCAGCUUUGAGGAGGACACCAAAAGCUCCAGCGACAUCUACAAAUGUUCUGCGGAGGAAGGAGAGGAGGGGGGUAUGGGGGGCCUGCGCCGCUUCAAGACAAUCGAGCUCAACAACACCAACAGCUACAGCCGCGACAUGGAGCUCAACAACGAGAACGACCUCAGCCUGGACCGAGAGCCCGAGUUGGAGAUGGAGAGCCUGACGGGGUCUCCCGAGGAGCGCUCCAGGGGUGAGUACUCCUCCACCCUGCCACCCACCACCUCCAGCUACAACUCUGGCACCUCCCCCACCUCCAUCUCCUCCAUGGAGGAAGACAGCGACAGCAGUCCCAGUCGCAGGCAGAGACUGGAGGACGCCAAGCAGCAGAGGAAGGCCCGCCACCGCUCCCACGGCCCCCUGUUGCCCACCAUUGAGGACUCCUCGGAGGAGGACGAGCUGAGAGAGGAGGAGGAGCUGCUGCGGGAGCAGGAGAAGAUGAGGGAUCUGGAGCAACAGAGGAUCCGCAGCACGGCUAGGAAGACCAAAAGAGAUAAGGAGGAGCUGAGGGCCCAGAGACGCAGGGAGAGAUCCAAGACGCCCCCCAGCAACCUCUCCCCCAUCGAGGAUGCCUCCCCUACUGAGGAGCUGCGACAAGCUGCGGAGAUGGAGGAGCUCCACCGAUCCUCUGCCUCAGAAUACUCCCCCCAGAGCCUUGACUCAGAGGCUGAGGGAUACGAGUCUAAACUCUACAAGUCUGGCAGCGAGUAUAACUUGCCCACAUUCAUGUCUCUGUACUCUCCUACUGAGAAGUCGUCGACGACCUCAACCACCACCGUGCCCUCCAGCAGCAAGCCCCUGAAGAGUGCUGAGGAGGUGUAUGAGGAAAUGAUGAGGAAAGCCGAGUUGCUGCAGAAACAACAGAAACAGCAACAGCAGCAGCAACAAGGGAGACACAACAGUGCAUAUGAGGACGACACGAAUGGCCAACAGUAUGAAGAUGAGUAUGAGUAUGAGCAGGCUGAGACUAGUUAUGAAAACGAGGCGGCAGAGACAGGAGACAUCUACGAAGAGAUCCGCCAGACCUCCCAAAACAUCACUAAGAUGCAUCAAACCUCAGCCCUGGAGUUACAGCAGCAGGCAGACGAGCAGGUGGAAAUAGACGACAGCACCUAUCCAGAUAAGCAGCUUUUAGAUACAGGGUCAGCCUUCGCUAAGCUGCUUGAGCAGACCAAUGACUUAUUGACUCCUGGCAACAGCCCCACUCAGCUCUCUGCACCUGUGACUUUUUCUGAGACCGGAGGAAGGAUCCCUGAUGUACGGGUGACACAACACUACUCCAAAGAUGUCCAUAAAGCCGGGAUGAAGAGCCAGACUGGUAAAAAUGGCAUUACUCCAGUGGCUGCCGCCACCACAAUAGCAGCCUACGGGGUUUAUUCCCGGGAUGCAGUGACCAUCUCUCACACAAGCGCUAGUCAAACGAUGACGACCAGCCAAUCCAUCAUGUAUGGUCGACAAACUGGAGGACCUGCCACUUCAACCACAACCAUCUCAAAUGUGUGCAGCAAGAUAGCGGAGAUAACACAGGCUUACAGCCAAAGAGAGGUGGUUGCGAGAAGGGUGGGCGAGAGCCGAGGGGUCCAAGCUAGAGAGAGUGCGACAUCUUCAGAGCAUGUCAUAGAGCCCCGCUCGACAAAGAUGUACUCGUACUACAAGAGCUCCAGCUCCCCUCUGUCUCCCUCUGCCUCGCCCACUGAGAGCCCAAGUCGCUCACCCUCCAGGAGUGCCGAGAUAUCCACUCAGACAUUCAGCCCAGGCAUAGGGGCUCUGUCGGCUGGCUCGGGGCCCACCUCCCCAGUGAUGGCCCAGGGGACACAGACAUCUCAAAGGGCCGUAUCCCCACGUCUCUUCAGACAGCAAUCCUCCCAGCAUGCCCCCUACAUGGUCGCAGAGCCCACAAGCCCUGCCAAACCAAUGACGGUCAACACCGCCACGUCACCUUUAUCCUCGCCCACCAGAUUCAUCCGACAGUCGACAUUUGACAGCUACUCUCCACAGGCCAGUCCGCCAGACACCCCUCCAUACCACCAGUCUCCCCAGCACAGCUUCUAUAGGAUGCAGAAGGUGGAGAAGGUCAGUGUUGGAACCAGCAUGGUCACCACAGCUAGCACCUACAGCCGUGGUUCCAUGUCAAUGGACAACAUCUCUCUCUGCAGGAUCUCAAGCAUCCCGGGGACCUCGAGUGUCGAGCCGGGCCAGAUGAUCCAUGGUGGGAGUGUGGUGGAUCUGAGAACAGUAGAUCUGAGAACAGCCACUAACGCAGCUCACAUUAUCAUGACUGCCCAUGGCAUGGAUCUUACCUCCCUGGCUAGAGAAACACGCAAAUACACCAGCAGGCCCGAGGGGAGCCACCCCUCCAGUAUCAUCCAGCCCCUCAUCAUGAACCUGAACACCCAGCAGCAGCCCCACGUAAUGGUAUCCACUGCAACCACGAUGAGCGUCACGGUGGCCACCUCCAUGUUCAUAUCACAGCCCCAACAGCCCAUGGUCUAUGGGGACCCUCUACAAAACAGAGUUGACCUCGGUCAGGGCAUGGGCUCAGCCAUGUGCCUGUCACAGAACAAACCACUUCCCACUGACCCAUCCAUCCCCAAGAUCGACGCCAAGCUGGAGGACCUGAGCAUCCAGCAGCAGCAGCUUCUCCAGCAGCAGCAAAAGCUUCAACAGCAACAGCAGCUCUUGGAGCAACAGCUCCAGCAACACCACCAGAUGCAGCAGCAGUCCUCCGUAGCUCGGUUCAACCUACCAGGCCAGAUGACGCUGCUCAAGAAAGACCUUCUGGUCAGCCAAACCAGCAAUACCCCAGCCGUGGUCAGUACUAUAUCCCCUGCCGUUGCCCCUGAUAUCUACGGCACUGUAGGUCCCCUGGAGCUGAAGAGCAAACCAACCCCGGCAGGUGUGAUGCACCUGGCUGGGGGUGGGCCUCAUGGCAUGAUGGUCCAAAUGGAUGGGGCCCCACAGGGAGGACCAGUGACCCAGCUGGUGAAGACAGAGGAGGGCAAGGAUGCCGUGGACCUCACAGGGGGACAGAUCAAAGCUGAGAACCAACCAGCUUGCUGUGAUGUUGUGUACCAACUCCCAUUUGGAGGUAGCUGCGUUGGCGGACCAUUCUCCCAAAAGCCAAAUGUUGAUGAGAAAGUGGCCACUCAAGAGCCAAGACCACACUCUGUGCCACCACUCUCUUAUGAGUCGGACCAGGAGGGCCAGUAUCAGGAGUUUUCUAUGGAUGGGCGUAAAGCCUACACAUUACCGUUCCCUGGCCGGCUACAGCCCUCGAUGUCUGACACCAACCUAGCAGAGGCCGGACUCCAGUCCUACCACUCCAAGAUGGACCCACACUUCCAGACCUCUGGAGAGCUGGCUGUGGAUCUCAGCACCAUGAAACACACCUAUGAGGGAGGCUUCCUCGGACUGGGCAUGCAGUAUGGCUCCUACACUGACCUACGCCAUGGAGGGGACAUCACUGCAACUGCCCUGCCCAUACGCAGAUUCAACUCCCUGUCAAACAUCAGCUCUGACUAUGGCUACUCCCCCCGAGACCUCGCUAACUUCCAGGAGUCCAACCUGGCCCAGUACAGUGCCACCACUGCCAGAGAGAUCAGUCGAAUGUGCGCUGCCCUCAACUCAAUGGACCGCUAUGGGAGCAACCCAGAGCUUGUGCAAUAUGGUGUAGGCAGAGGAACAGGUCCAGGUGGCAGGCUUAACUCUAUGAGACAAAAUAUGCUCUAUGGACCUGACGGGAAGCCAAUCUCUCACACCCAAGCGCUCACCAACAUGAUCAAUGCCAGGCAAGCCAGCCUCCGAGCCAUGUACCCGUCUGCCAUGAGGUCUGCAGAUGGGAUGACCUAUUCUACCAUCAACACACCCAUCGCCUCCACCUUGCCAAUCACUACCCAGCCUGCCUCAGUGUUGCGCCCGCUAUUAAGUGGAGUGUACAGGCCUUUACCCACAGCCAAUAUGACACCUGUGCCUCUGGCCAGCCUUACCAGGAUGCCUGUGAACCCACGGAUGCCUAUGUCUGGAAAGGCCCCAUACCGUUAUCCGACUCCCAACGUCUUCCCAUCUACGACGUCGGCCCCUGUGAGCAUGCCUGCCGCCGUCACCACCACUCAGGAUGCCCCAAUCUACCUAGGGAAGCCCUCUGUGACAUCAAGUGGAUCUGAUCCCCUGUAUCAAUCUCCUGUUGCCCAUACAUCAGCCUCAGUGAGCUUGCCAACGGAGUCCGAGCAGCAGCCCAUAAACCUGACUCAGGCUCACCUCCACACUCAGGCCCCAGGGCAGCCCCAGGUCCAGCCUCAGAACCAGCCCCCAGCUCAGGCCCAGCACAUGCAACCUCAAUUCCACCCUCAGGGCCAGCAUCCACCCCAGAGCCAGCCACCUCCAGCCCAUGCUUACCCCCCAACACAAAGCUACACUGGGCCCCAGAGCAGCACCCAGCCCCAUCACCCAACCCCACCCUCCAGCGGCCCUGUCAACCCGGAGACCGAGACUGAGGAGGAGAGGCUGCACCGCCAGCAGGAGCAGCUUCUGCAAAUGGAGCGGGAACGCGUGGAGUUGGAGAAGCUGCGUCAGCUGCGUCUGCAGGAGGAGCUGGAGAGAGAGCGCAUGGAGCUGCAGCGGCACCGUGAGAAAGAGCAGAUGCUGGUGCACAGGGAGAUCCAGGAGCUGCAGACCAUCAAGGAGCAGGUCCUGCAGCAGCAGCAAGCUGAGAGGGAGAACCAGCUGGUGAUGCAGAAGGAGCAGUUGGCCCAGCAGAAAGCCCAGCUUGACCAGAUCCAGUCGCUGCAGCAGCAGCUCCAGCAGCAGCUCGAGGAGCAGAAGCGACAAAAGACUGCUGCAGCUGCUGCUGCAGCCACCGCAGCCGCUCAGUUGGACCAGAGCGGCCAGAUGCUGCAGCCCUACAGAAACCAAAUGGGCUUCAGGUCCCUGCCCAACUCCUCCUCAGACAUGUGUCUAAGGAACAACGAGGAGCAGAUGGAGACCAGGACCAACAUGAGAAAGCAGAACUCCACCUCCAUGCCCCGACUGAGGGAUGGAAUGGAGGGCGAGAGCGUUGAGUUCUACGGAGCCCGGAGGAUCGUGGACAGUUGCGUUCAAACAGACGAAGAGGACGGUGAGGAGAGGUACAUAAUGUCUAGACGCAGACGCAACAGGCGCAGUGUGGACCGCAGCGUCCAGACCGACGACGAUGAGGAGAAAGUGGAGUGGGAGCAGCCUGUGAGACGCAGACGCUCACGCUUCUCCAGGCACUCGGAUCCCGGGGCCGACCACAAGACUGACACAGCCUCCAAGACGGCCACCUCAUCCAGCAUCGCCAUUCAGACCAUUCGAGACUGCUCCUGCCAGACCGAAACAGACCAGCUGGGGAAGGUGUCCCCGGCCAUCCACGUCACUGUCCCAGACCCGAACAAAGUGGAGAUCGUCCACUACAUCUCAGGCCCUGAAAGGACCCAGAAGGGUCAAAGCCUAGCCUGCCAAACAGAUGUGGAGGCCCAGUCUCAGGGCGUGGUGGUGCCACAGCUCAGCGUGCCCACCACCAUCAGCCCCUACUCCACAGGUAUCCAGCUGGUUGGCUCCGCCGACCCGCGGCAGCAGCAGAACAGGAGGAGGUCUGACCCCAUGGAGAUCAGCUACCAGACCCAGACCCAGACCCAGCCCAUGAACCACCUCCACAACGAGUCCCUUUCCAGCCUGAUCCGUCAGCCCCCCAAGUCCCCCCAGGUGCUCUACUCCCCUGUGUCCCCCGUCUCCCCCCACCGCUUGCUGGAGACCUCCCUUUCCAGCGGCGGGCUGAACAAGGCCCAUGUCACUCCCCAGCAGAAGGCCUACACAGCCGAGUCACCCCAGCGCCACCCCAGCAUGCCCCGCCCUAUUAAGAACACACAGAGGUCCAUGUCUGACCCCAAGUUGCUGAGCCCCACCACUGACGAGCACACUAAGGCCAGGCUAAACCUGUACCAGCAGCAAGCUCUUCAGAGCCAGCUUGCUGCCCUGCAGCAGAGCGCUCUGAGGAAGGUGAAGAGGACCCUGCCCAGCCCCCCUCCAGAGGAGAGCCACCUCCCCAUCAUCACCCCGGCCGUCCCUCAAAUGUACAUGCCCGCUGUGCACUCCCUGAGGGCCGGGACCAGGCCAGGUCUGGCAGCCAAAGCCAGCCUGCUGAAGGACCUCACCCACGAGCUGAAGGCCGUGGAGCAGGAGUCCACCAAGCUCCGCAAGCAGCAGCAGGAGCUGGAGGAGGAGGAGAAGGAGAUUGAUGCCAAGCUGCGCUACCUGGAGCUGGGCAUUCAUCAGCGCAAGGAAACCCUGGUGAAGGAGAGGGAGAGGAGGGAUCUGGCCUACCUGCGCUGCAUGGGCGACCCGCGAGACUACAUGUCAGACAGCGAGCUGAAUAACCUGCGGCUGGCGGCGGCGGUAGCUUCCUACGAGAGCAACGGGGUGCUGACCAGACCGAGCACAGCACCACUGAGCCAGUACACCAGCGACCUCAACACAGCCGCCCAGUUCCCUCCCAUCUCCUCCUUCGUCUCCUACCAGUCAUACCACCCCCAGAGCCAGCCAGCUCCAGCACCCCAGCCUGGCACCCCUUAUCAGACCGCAGCCUUCAACCAGCCCCCCUACCCUUCAGUGUCCCAGGCAGCAGCUCUUCCCCAGCCCACCCCCCUGCAGACCCAACAUCUUCCCCCAACCUACCAGACCCAGGGGUCCUUCCCCUCCCACACAUACCCCCAGAGCCAGCCCCCCUACCCGACAGAGCAGGGGGUGCAGCCACUGCUCCAGCAACAGCAACAGCUAAGCCACCAGGGGUUCCAGCCUGCCCAGCCUGGCCAACCUCCCUACCCCACCCACACCUCUCCAUACCCCAGCCAGGUGUCCUACCCAGCUGGCCCAAGCCAGACCACUCCCUACCAGCCCCAGGCAGACAUCCUCACUGUUCAUCAGAGACCCAGACAGACCUCUCUGACUGACCUGGAACACAAGAUGCCCACUAACUAUGAGGUCAUAAGCAACCCCACUGUAGUGGUGACCACCACAGCCCAAGAUGCCAUCUACUCCUCCUCCAGUGGGGCUCCCCCAUACGGACAGUAUACUGGUGGUACCACUAUGGCCAACACUUAUGGGCCAUACUCUUCUACAGUCUCUAGUACAUAUGGCCAGUACACCACGACAGUUGCCAACACAUAUGGGCAGCAGUACACUUCCACCCUGGCCAGUACGUACGGCCAGUAUACCACUACCACAGCUAACACCUACGGCUACACCACCACUACAGCCAACUCCUACGGCCAGUACACCACCACCACCAACAGCUACGGCCACGGCACUCCAUCUGACCGUCUGCACUCGGUUGACAGCCCGUCCACCUACGCACAGGGCGGUCUCUACGGCCCAGCCAGCCUGGAGCAGAACAUCCCAAGGAACUACGUCAUGUGCGACGACAUCAGUGAGUUGACAAAGGACAGCCUGGGCGGCAUGGCGGCGGACAUGCAUCGAAGCGACGGUCAUGGUGGACGCUACAUGGGGGAGAGCGGCCCGGCGAGAGGAGGGAGUUCCUACGGCAGGCCGGAGGACGAGCUGACCAGGGAGGAAGACCUGUACGACCACCAUGGCAGGGGUAAGAGCAGCUACCACCCACGAGGGUCAGACACAUAUGGCCGAGUAGUGGGCAGCAGCAGCACUAGCAUGGGUGGGGGAUCCUCCUAUUACUAUGAUGACUACACCAAACACGGCGCACUACGCACCGGGGUCCAGAAGCAAGCCUCCAAGAGCCUGGCUCCGGCUGUCAUGUCCUCCAAGCGCAGCAAGCACCGCAAGCAAGGCAUGGAGCAGAAGAUCUCCAAGUUCUCCCCCAUCGAGGAAGCACGUGACGUGGAGGCUGACCUGGCCUCCUAUACCAUGAGCACGUCUGGCGGUGGCAACUGCACCGUAGUGUCCCGGGCCAGGAAGCUGCAGGACGACAUGGCCUACGGCCUGAGAAAGAGUGCCUAUGAGCAGAAGAGAUACUCCUAUCCCGAGGAGGACGAGCGCAUGUACUACACCUCGGGCCGUUCACGCUCCACAGGCUAUGGCAUGGACAAGAUCUCGUCCCGGGACUAUGCCGGCUACCGCAGCCGCUCCUAUGAGAGAGAUGGGGACAGGGAUCGCUCGUCGUACAGGGUGGGAUACAGCCGGGGCAGACCCCCCAUGCGCUCCCAGUAUUCGGAGGAGGAGAGCCUGCUGAGCUCCAUGGGUGUUCAUGUGCGGGCCUCCUCCCUGGGCCCAGAGCUGUACGACAGCCGUAGUAAUCAGUAUUAUGGCCAGUACGGCUCCAGCCACUCCCUGCCUGAUGUGCAGGACCACAUGAGAGACUUGCCCCGGACUCACGUCUACAAACCAGACGAUUCUUACAUUAUAGACGAUAUGCAUUGCGCUGUUUCGGACAGCGAAGUCUGCAUGCCUCUGUCGCCGUCGGACUUGGAGAUUGACUGUGAUCUGCUCUUGGUUUCCAAAGCCUACAAUCUUGGCCAAGAGGAGACAGACUGGUUUGAGAAGCCCAGGGACCUGCGCUCCGGCUCCCGUCACUACGGCAGUGGAGGCCACUCCUCGUCCGGCCGCAGCCGCCACGUCAAGCACACCUACCACGACUACGAGGAGCCCACAGAGGAGGACCUGUGGCCCCAGGACGAGUAUGGCCAAGCCCGUCACUCCUCCUCCUCGCGGGACCACCGCCCCCACGGCAGCGGCAGCUCCGGGAGACACUCCUCUACGUCCCGCCACUCGGACGAGCCCCGCUCCUCUCGCUUCUCCAAGGGCCAUCCCAAAGACCCGUCCAUGCGCCACGACUCCCGCCAGUUGUCCUCGUCGGGAAAGAGGGGCGACUCCCGCUCCCAGGGGGGGUAUCACUCGUCGGACUACUCCAGGGACCCGUCGGGCCACCACCACAGCCAGGGCCGCUCCACCAAGUCCUCGUCCUCUCACGAUGGGCGGACUUCCUCCAGGAAGCAGCAGGACCUCCAGGGCCACACUUCCUCUACCUCCAGGGGCCAGGGCAGCUCUGGACGUGGGCAGGGCUCCACCAGUGGGCCUCCAUGCUCCAGGGGACAGGGUCCUACCUCCCAGCAGGACGGGCUGCAGCCAGGCCAACGCACCCAGCUGCAGCAGCAGCCCCAGACCUCGGCGGCACGGCAGACAGGCACCAUCCCUGCAGGCACCACUCCUGGGGGCCAGCAGCCUCUGGGCCCGGGCCAAGCCCAGCAGGGUCUACAGGCGAAGCCUGGUCAGCUUGGUCCUGGUCAGGCCAGUCGCCAGCCACAGGCAGGAGGCGCACUGGGGCAACUGCCACCAACUGUGGCACCUGUCGCAAACACACCCCCUGUGACUGCCAUAGGGGCCAAAGCUGUCAUAGGAGGGGCGGCCCAGCCUGCAAAAACACCUCAACCCCCACUCACAGGAAUAGGCUCCAAGGCCGCCCCUAGACCCGGUGGCAUUGGGAGCGCGGCAGCGGGUCAACCUGGGAUGGAGGGGGAGAGUCUCCUCUCCAAGGUCCUACCAGGAAACCCUGCGGAGGCAGCAGGAAAACUAGGAGAAGCUAUCUCCGGUUUCGGCAAGAAGUUCACCUCGUUGUGGUGAGGUGUUGAGAUGAGGGUGUCUGUAAAUGUUAUGGAGGAUGUCGUGAGGCUUCGUACCAGAAAAACCUAGGAAGACCCCCGCUUUGUUUUACUGUGAGAGAGAGAGAGAGAGAGAGAGAGAGAGAGAGAGAGAGAGAGAGAGAGAGAGAGAGAGAGAGAGAGAGAGAGAGAGAGAGAGAGAGAGAGAGAGAGAGAGAGAGAGAGAGAGAGAGAGAGAGAGAGGGGGAGGGAGAAAUACAGCGACCAAGAGAAGAUAUCUGAGCGCACUGCCAAUGAGGACAGGAAUCAAUGGAUGCUGCAUGUACCAGGUCUAUGCACACAAUGGGAGAGAAACUAUGCUGAUUUCUCUGGCCGGCCAGACAAAUGGUUUGAGGCCCCCAGACUGCAAUCCCCCCAGCCAAAGAACAAGGACACUGACACCUGAGCCCCCCUGAACACCUAAGCCAUCACAAGCCCUGAGGAUCCCUCCAGAGAGAGGCUAGCUGGAUAGAGAGCCUGAUCCCUGCCACUAUCUGGGUCUUCACCACCAGGAUGUCUCCUCAAGAACCAUCACCUCCCAAACAGCCAUUAUCCUUUGGGGAAUGGGCUCUAUACUAAGGAAUACUCCACACAGCUGCUCUAUAGGAGCAUGGAAAGGGGCCGUAGUACUGUGACCCCGCAACACGCUAAUGAUGCUAUCCUCUAGUCUGUGGGCUGUUGUGCUGCUGCCUGCUGGGGUUCGUAACAGACAUGGCCGUGGUGGCAUGGUAGGAUCCUUGAUUCCGUAAGCCUGUGCUCAGAUUAAAAAACACACAGACACACUCUCCUCUCAUCUCUGAAAAAGAAAAGAGAAGAACAGGUUUUUCUGGUACUAAAGACCUCCUGUUUAAUUUGGAUGCUGAUCAUUUAGGAAAGAAGAAGAAAAGACAAUAAGGAUGACUAGGUUGACAGAAGCUAGGAGGAAGUGUCCACAGUUUGCUCAGUUUUUUUCUCUACAUUCCAGAAUGGAAAAAGGCCCCGUUUUUUUUUAUGCUGACUCGUUAGUUUCAUUUUUUUCCUCUCUUGCGAUGUGUCUAAGAAGUGUAUUGUGGAUUUAGGAUUCGGAAAUGCAUGGAACUUUAUAUCCAAGACCUUACACUGUUCACCAUUUCAGUUACAGAGGCCAUAAGACAUUGGUUAAUAAUAAUAAUAAUAAAAAAUGAUAGUAAAAAUGUAUCCAAAAGAAGACGAGGAGGACACAACACUGAAUCUGGCCACAGGAUGGGAGAAUCAUCAUUCGGAAGGUUUCGAUUGCACCAUGAGAGCCGAAUGUGGCCAGGUUUGUUUUUUAGCCAUUGUAAAGCCAUUAAUAAGAAAAAACAUCCCCAGAACGUUUGGGUUCCUGGUGUUUCUGAACCUUCCCACAACGUUUGGGUCUCUGGUGGUUGUUUUUUUUACGACUCAGUUUUUUUUUCUCGUUCUGUAUUUGCCUGAUUUUCUGUUACAGGAUAGUGGAUUCGCCUUAAUCCUUCCAUUCUUUUUUAUUUAGAGUAAAGUUACAUCUUAUUUUUUUACUCCAUGUUCUGUCCAUAAAGCUUAUUUUAAUUGCAGACUUUUUUAUGUAAUAAUGAUGUCCGCUGGAACCCUGGCUGUGAGAUUAAUUUAUAUUUUGGGAUUUUGUUUCACUUUUAAAUUUGUAAUCCUUUUAUAUUGUGUAUUUUCUCAUACAUUUUUGUGUUUAUGUUUGUCAUAAUCAUUAAUUACGUAAUUUAUGAUGGUUAUUAAUAAUGAAAAAGCAAUAGUAUGUGGAAGAAAGUCAGUAAAGAGCACAAUCUUGUGUCAUUUUACAAAUCUUUAGUCAGGAAUGUGUUGCCUCUGUGCGAUAUUCUGCUAUCACAACAGGGCCACACCUGGGUUGUAUUCAUUAGGCACCAAACAAAAUAAAAAACUGACAAACAGGGAGGGACUACCUGAAAUUGUCCAAUAAGAAAUGCUCGUUUUUGUUUUCUGUUGCAAAACGUAUUGCUACGGAGUCCUCUAAUAAAUACAACCUUGUAAAUCCAGUCUGGUAGUUUGGUACUGCCGAGUCAAGGCAUAUCAUAUCUGCCCAUUAUGAUACGUGAGCACUGCAAGACAGCAGAGAGGCACUGAAUACAAACCAGUGCAAAUCACCAUUGUAUCUGACUUGAAGUACUUUAGCAUUCUUUUGUUGACUGUCAUAAUCAUUGGGUUUUCAUGUUUUCUGGCUUACUACAGACUUUUAACAUCCAAAACACCAUUACAGGGGAAAGAGAAACACCUUACAGACAUGUAGUACAUAUUGGCUAUGUGUUUCAAACAGACUGAGGAUGUUAGACUGGAGAGACACCUACUCUGCACACACUCACAUAUGGCUGCGGGCAACAGUGAUGUAUGAGUUAUGUGCGAGGUAGCAAAAGGUGUUUGGUGGAUUAGACACUGAAGUGUCAGCACAGUUGGUUCAGUUUUUUGUCUUUGUUUUUGCGACCAAACUGCAAACCCCAAAAUGUUGACGAUUGUCACGGAAACCUCUCAGGUCAGUGUUCUUCCUGCUGUUCUUUGCAGUGCAGCGUGUGUAGUAGUGUUACUGGUGAUACACUCAGACGCUAAAGGCCCACUGAUGGGAGCCCAAACAUGAUGUAUAUUCUCUUUCUCUUUCUGUGGUUGCUGGAAUCAAGCAUGCUCUGGCAAAACCUCAGUAACAGUCACUUCUGUAUCGUUAGUUUCCUGAUGUUUGUAUGUGUGUGAGUACUGUAUGCGUGUGUUUCUCACCAUCCUACUAAAAAACAAACCAUUAUCUGGCAAAUAAAACAAGUGUGUGGUCGACGGCAACUUUUACAUUUCAAACGUUCUAUGCAAUGAAUCAUUUGGGGGAAAUAAAAGGGAAGAAACUGAAUACCACUAUCAUUGUCAUGGCUGAGACAAAUACUGCUUCCUUUUAGCAUUCCUACUACAAAAAUAGAUUUACUUGUUUGUAAAUAGCUACAAUAUGUGUACGUCAGGAAUUUGAUUCAACGUUUUUUUACAUUUCUUUUUAGUGGCAUGUUUCAGUCCCUUCACUGAAAAUUGGAACCGGUUGCCAACUGGUUAACUACAUAGGCACCCUAAAAUGGCACACUAUUCCAGUUAGAGUACUAUAGGCUGGCUAUAGGGAAUAAGGUGCCAUUUUCAAUGCAGAAUAGUGUCAAUAAAGUCUGCCAUCUUAUUGCUUCAAGCAUGGGUUGCUGGGUACAGCGAAUGGUCUUGUACGUACAGUGCUGAAGACCCCAUUUUUGUUGGACGGCCAUGGAUUUCAAUAUUUGGCUGCUAGUUUGUGCACUUGUUAUUCCAUAGAAUAGACUGAAGCUGCUAAAGACUUAAGCCAAUUAUAUGAAGAGAUUAAAUAUAUAAAUUAUAUAAAUAUGUAAAACAAAUACUUUAUGAUAAAUAUAUAUAACACAUAUUUGAGAAAUGACAGGCACUUUUCAUGAUCGAAGGGAAUGACCUGGUGUGUGUACACUGCCACUACCUAUUAACAUACUAUGAUAUUCCAGAAGUUUGAACGUUGAUGGGAGGCUGCUGGCACGACAGAGCUUGUUUCCUUUCAGUGAGCCCACCGAAAACCAUUGUAGGCUAUACCCACUCACCAUUAAUUUGGCUUGAAAGGCUUUAGUGUGAAAAUCCCUUAACCCACAACUCACUCGGUACAGUAACUGAUGUUUCAAGUAUGGGUGAUUAUUUCAAUGUAAAGAAGUGGAGUUAUUUUUAUAGCAUCCUUUAAUGGAAUAUCUAUACACAAAUAUUAUUGUAUCAUACAGAUAGUCAUUGGUACACUGGCGAAAUCCCUAUGAAGUUCAUGGAAUAGAAUGAUGAUCAUAUCAAUAUUGUCCUACUGUUACAAAGGCCUCCUUACAGUAGAUAAGACUGGCAUGGAAAGCACUUCACAGGCGUUUAGAACAAACUAGUGACAGAUAAAGUCACUGUCAGUGAAUGGAUGAUCAGAUAUGUAAAUGAGAUAGAGAUAAUAAUGACGUUGUAAAAAAAGAAGAGAACCAAUACUGAUCAAAAUCCAAUUAUGACUUGUUUAUGUUCCAAAUAGUUUGUAACUGUGUUCAAUCACUUUGCCUCAGGAAAGCACACACAAAAUGCACCGUGGUGAAAUGAAAUGGGACGUUAAUAUGCAUAGUAGUAAGGGCUUAUUAUUACAAUACUGGUCAAUCAAGAAAGCCAUCUUAUUACUGUCCCAUCCAGUCCUAAAUCUACUCUGGAUUACAUGGGUUUUGGACCACUGCAUUUUGCCAGGGACAAAUAAAACACACGUCUUUUUUUUUACGUCAACCAAAAAUUGUGCUUUUAAAGUAGCAUAGCAACUGCGACUAUCUGCCCUUGCUGUGGGUCAUUGUGGAUGGCUAUGCACAGUGAACAACAACAGGACAUUACUAUGGAUGAACAGAAUAGGGUGACAGACAAGGGAAUGCCGGAAAAAAAGCUACAAAAAAUAUUUUUCCACCAUCAGGGAGCAGUCAUCUUUCACCUUAGUGAAAAGUAACAAGUGCAUGAGCUAAUGCAGCAUAAAGCCUCUCCUUACAUCUGACAGGCAGGCAGACAUAUUCACUGUAAAUACCAGUCAGGGUCAUAGACUGCUCUGUACAACAUGUAAAUGUCAUACUAAACACUAUCACAGGCAUUGAAAGCCACGCAGGCUGACCUUGCCAAACUUGUGCUUUUGUGAAUAAAAAUGACAAAAAAGCAUUGUGUAUGUGGCUGGCUUGUGCAGACUGUUGAAUUAAAAACAAAAGUUGUAUUCUGAAA